UACGAAGGGGGCUAGCGUUGCUCGGAAUUACUGGGCGUAAAGGGCGCGUAGGCGGAUAUCUAAGUUGGGGGUGAAAUCCCGGGGCUCAACCUCGGAAUUGCUUUCAAAACUGGAUAUCUUGAGUUCGGGAGAGGUGAGUGGAACUCCGAGUGUAGAGGUGAAAUUCGUAGAUAUUCGGAAGAACACCAGUGGCGAAGGCGACUCACUGGCCCGAUACUGACGCUGAGGCGCGAAAGCGUGGGGAGCAAACAGG
rnacentral:rRNA from 1 species